CUGUCUUAUUCUGGCUUGCAAUGAUUGGGAACAUGUGGGAGAUAUGCUUCAGACUUUUGAGUCAAUGAUGCUGGAAGCGGGAAUUCAUUUUAAAACACAAUAAUAAUCGGGUCUCACUUUGAUCUGAUUGAUAUGAAAUGCCUGCUGUGUAAAUGCAGCUGCAUUUUUGUGAAUUUCAUGUAUAAAAGGAAGCCUUCUGUACCUGUAAAUGCUCAUUUCUAAUUUUUCAAUUCAUGUAGUAAAAACUGUCUAGAAAGAGUGUACUUGGAUGUUUACACCCAAGUUGUAAACAACAAUGGAGUUGUUUAUUUUUUCGGCAUUCACCUUGUAAAUCCUACACAUAACAAUUCAUAUUUUGACGGCAAUUGCGAGGGAUAACUAGAAAACUGAGUAUAAACACCAUCCAAAAAAGCAGUGUUAGGACAUUUUAUACAGAAGUGUGCCUAGUUGAAGCAGGGAGCAUUAUUCAGUGUGACGGGAUCCAGUGUUUACUCACUUGCAGUUUCUAAAUCUGCCUGGAUCCAAGAAUUUUCUGACAGUGUGAUGUGUGGAUCUAGCGAGCUCAGGUACGGCCCCGGCCCUCUGGUGCGGUCUCCUUCCCCGCGGAACCCCGCCGGCAGCCACACGUCCAGCAGCCGCUCUGGGACACCCUUGCCACCACCUCCUUCCGCACGCCCCGCCAAAGCGGGGGUCGGGACGCCCCCCGCGGCCGCAGCUGCCACGUCCUGGCUGCCGGGGAGACAGAAGGGCACUCGCUGCAGAACGAGCUCCUCUUCUACCGGCGCUUUUCAAUUUGCAAGCUACAGGAAAUGAUGCUUGAAUACUGCUGAAGAGAGAGAAGAAGAAUUCCUCCUCCAACAGAACAUGCUUUGUUUGGCUCCAGUAAUACCACAGUCUCAAAAGAAGAAUGACCUGUGAAAUUUGAACCUCCUUGGAUCUGUUUCUUCCAGUAAGACAAUACAAAAGGGAUGUACUGUGCUGGAGGUUCUUACAAUAGUGUGCCAUCCCCUUCCUGUCUGGGAAGCAGAAAGAGAGCAUGGGGUGCUGUUGUGAUGAUGACCUUUGGCAAGCUGAGAUGCAAGGCACCCCGUAGGAAUUUCCUCCAGCUCAAAGGAUUCCCAAAGAAACAAAGAAGGAAACUCACAUGACUAUUGUCAGAAGCACAGUGUCAUCUACAGACCUGAAGGCACUGUUUAGAGAAAGGAAAGCUACCCAGCCCUGACUGCGGCACUUACUGUGGCCUUGCACAGGACACUCCAUGUCUUUAU